UUGAAGAGUUUGAUCAUGGCUCAGAUUGAACGCUGGCGGCAGGCCUAACACAUGCAAGUCGAGCGGUAGCACAGAGAGCUUGCUCUCGGGUGACGAGCGGCGGACGGGUGAGUAAUGUCUGGGAAACUGCCUGAUGGAGGGGGAUAACUACUGGAAACGGUAGCUAAUACCGCAUAACGUCGCAAGACCAAAGUGGGGGACCUUCGGGCCUCAUGCCAUCAGAUGUGCCCAGAUGGGAUUAGCUGGUAGGUGGGGUAACGGCUCACCUAGGCGACGAUCCUAGCUGGUCUGAGAGGAUGACCAGCCACACUGGAACUGAGACACGGUCCAGACUCCUACGGGAGGCAGCAGUGGGGAAUAUUGCACAAUGGGCGCAAGCCUGAUGCAGCCAUGCCGCGUGUGUGAAGAAGGCCUUCGGGUUGUAAAGCACUUUCAGCGGGGAGGAAGGCGAUAAGGUUAAUAACCUUGUCGAUUGACGUUACCCGCAGAAGAAGCACCGGCUAACUCCGUGCCAGCAGCCGCGGUAAUACGGAGGGUGCAAGCGUUAAUCGGAAUUACUGGGCGUAAAGCGCACGCAGGCGGUCUGUCAAGUCGGAUGUGAAAUCCCCGGGCUCAACCUGGGAACUGCAUUCGAAACUGGCAGGCUAGAGUCUUGUAGAGGGGGGGUAGAAUUCCAGGUGUAGCGGUGAAAUGCGUAGAGAUCUGGAGGAAUACCGGUGGCGAAGGCGGCCCCCUGGACAAAGACUGACGCUCAGGUGCGAAAGCGUGGGGAGCAAACAGGAUUAGAUACCCUGGUAGUCCACGCUGUAAACGAUGUCGAUUUGGAGGUUGUGCCCUUGAGGCGUGGCUUCCGGAGCUAACGCGUUAAAUCGACCGCCUGGGGAGUACGGCCGCAAGGUUAAAACUCAAAUGAAUUGACGGGGGCCCGCACAAGCGGUGGAGCAUGUGGUUUAAUUCGAUGCAACGCGAAGAACCUUACCUGGUCUUGACAUCCACAGAACUUUCCAGAGAUGGAUUGGUGCCUUCGGGAACUGUGAGACAGGUGCUGCAUGGCUGUCGUCAGCUCGUGUUGUGAAAUGUUGGGUUAAGUCCCGCAACGAGCGCAACCCUUAUCCUUUGUUGCCAGCGGUUAGGCCGGGAACUCAAAGGAGACUGCCAGUGAUAAACUGGAGGAAGGUGGGGAUGACGUCAAGUCAUCAUGGCCCUUACGACCAGGGCUACACACGUGCUACAAUGGCAUAUACAAAGAGAAGCGACCUCGCGAGAGCAAGCGGACCUCAUAAAGUAUGUCGUAGUCCGGAUUGGAGUCUGCAACUCGACUCCAUGAAGUCGGAAUCGCUAGUAAUCGUAGAUCAGAAUGCUACGGUGAAUACGUUCCCGGGCCUUGUACACACCGCCCGUCACACCAUGGGAGUGGGUUGCAAAAGAAGUAGGUAGCUUAACCUUCGGGAGGGCGCUUACCACUUUGUGAUUCAUGACUGGGGUGAAGUCGUAACAAGGUAACCGUAGGGGAACCUGCGGUUGGAUCACCUCCUU
rnacentral:rRNA from 2 species